CCCUAUUAUAUUUUAAUACUAUUAGGUAGUACUAACUUAUUAGAAAACCUAUGUAGUUUGGCGGCAUUUAAUCAAUUUAGAGGAACCUGUUUUUUAAUCGAUACCCCACGAUAAAUUUUACUUUUAUUAACAUCUUAUAUACCUCCAUCUUAAGGAUAAAUACUUAUAUUAUUUCCUCAAUAAAAUUUUAACAAGUUAGGUAAAGGUGUAGACUAUAUAAUAGAUAAAAUGGGUUAUAUAUAAAUUUUAUUUAAGGAUAAUUAAUUAAUUUUUUUUUGAAAAAAGAUUUAUUAGUAAUUUUAGAAUAUUAUUCUAUUUUGAAAUUGAUAAAUAAUGUGUACAC
rnacentral:rRNA from 1 species